rnacentral:lncRNA from 1 species
AAGAAAUCAAUCUGUGAAGAAGACUUGAAUCCAUCAUCAAGCCCAACCAAACAAUGGAUCAAGGUUAGUGUUUCUUCUUUUACAAAAAAAAACUGUCCAUAGUUAAAUUAAAUUAAAUCUAGAUGAUCUUUGGGAUUUAGAUUUCAUGAUAGAAAUCAUAACAGUUAAACUAAUAAUGAGAGGUAGCUCUCUUCCCCACCCACCACUGCAAAGUUGUUUGAAGACCAAGAAACCAAAAGCCUUUCUAAAGGUGUGCCGUGGUGCCAACGCUAGCUGUGGUACGUACAUUAACCUUAGACUCUCAGCCAAUGUUAAAUUGUUAAUGUUAAAGUGAUUAGUCAUUAGUAAUUCACAAUUUGUUUUUGCACAAAACCCAAACAAAAAAGACAUUCUAUGGAUUUUAUCUAUAAGCUUUUUAGUAUCAUAAAAUACAUUUUCAUGUCUAAGAAUAUUAAUUUAAAGAGUAAGAAUCAAGAGUCACCAGAUUUUAGAAUAUACAUUUCAUCAUGGCAGGAUUUUUUUUUUUUUUUUUUUUUUUGUCUGUCAUCGCAGGCAAGAUAAUUAAUUAGAGGGACACCAGUGUAACCAGGCCUAAAGCCAUCUUGUGUUAGACUUUUGUUUUUGUUCCAUUUUAUUAGUUUUUUUUUUUUCCAAGUUUCUAUGCAAAAUUAUACAUCUUUUGUUUUGCAAAAAGUGUCAUUUUGACACAUUUUACACAAAUUAAGAAAAUAUUUAAUUAUUC